UUUUUAAAAGGGGCUAUGACUUGUUUUUUAUUUUUUUAUGUGUUUUAUAUUGUAGGCAGAUCACCGUGCAACUUGGUGAAGUCAUGUGUCUUUCCAGAUGGCCAAAUCUGUACCCCUCAAAAAAACUUUAUUAAAUGCCAUGAUAGACAAGAUGAGCCUUAAGAGGAGAUUUGGGAAGAUGCUGUUUCAUAAGUCUUUGCUUUGCCAGAUUAUUUGUGGUUGGGGUGUCUGCCAACGUGAUGCCUUGCUGGUCUGGUUUGAGUUUGAAGUCUCUCACAGACAGUCCAGAAGGUCUGGAGUCCAUCUUAGCUUUCAUUGAUGCUGUCAUCAUUUUUUAAGUGCAUGAGCCAGAAUGGACGGGUGGUGGUGGCCAUAAGAAGACUGUCAACUAAACUAGGGUGACCAUACGUGCCAUUCUUCCCGGACCCGUCCUGUCCAGUCUUUUGGAACUCCUAUUUGUCGACCGCAUACGUCACAGAGGAUUAUUAUUUUUAUUACAGAAAAGCAACCGUUACAUUUUAAGGUAAGAAGAAUGAAACUACGAUUGUAUAUCUUAUGUUUUUAACUGAAUGGCGUAUGCGGUCAACAAAUACGACUUCCGGAAGACGCACCGAAAUCCUGGACGGGAUGCGUCCGGGAAGAAUGGCACGUAUGGUCACCCUAACUAAACCAACAACAAAAUUCAUAUUUGCAGUUAUAAAUAAAAUGACUUUUAAACCUGAUUUUGUUUUCUUAUUUUAU